rnacentral:lncRNA from 1 species
AGGCCUAGAAAUUCCAAAGUAUCACAUUGGCUGCAUUCUGUCGGUCCAAGCAAAUCACAAGGCCAGCUCAGUUAUGGAAUUGGGGAAAGUGACACCUUUCCUGAUGUGAGGAGGGGCAUAGUGAUCACCUUUGCAGGCAAUCUACCACAGAGACCAACAAGAAAAGUCAGCUUUGCCACACUUCUCCAUGAACUUGACUUCCCUCAGUGUUAGUCAAAGUUAAAAACUGAAGAGCACUCAAAGCCUAUGUAUGGAGAGGGUAUGGUCUCGAAAGGAGAGGAAGGGAAUAGUGACUGAAAUGGAACUGAAAAAAGCAUUCUGACAAACCUAUACACACUGAAACCCGGGAUUGCAAGCGCAGAGCCACAGCUACGUCUCACCACGCCUGUAUCCACUGCAGAUGGCAUUAAUCAACAACAAAGUCCAUGUGUGCCCUUAACAUUCUUCUUCCCAGGUCAAGACUCUAUGCCACCAUCACAAAUCUACCAGUCUGAAAAAGAGAAGACAUCUAUCUACCACUCGGGCUCACCUUCUGAGGGAUGUACAACCACUCAACAGAGAGAUUUCCAGACCUGAAAACUGUGAUUAGGGACAAUGAGACAAGUCAGUGUGAUUGUCAUUUUUUGAGUGCUACUGGGAACCAGGAAAAGGACAUACUGAGGUUGGUGGACUUGCUUCAAGUUUCAUUAAUUUUAUUUGUCGUCUGAGGGGAGGAGCUGUCACCAGUGCUGUGUGUCUGUCCUAUGUACCCCUCUCUAUCACCACUGCCCUGUUCUUUUUUUUUUUAAUAAAUUAAUUUUUAUUGGUGUUCA